GCUCAAGGAAGAGUUUUCUUUAUUUCUCCUGAUCUUCGUCUGAUCUUGGAAGUGAAGCAGGGUCGGGCCUGUUAGUACUUGGAUGGUAGUUGGAGGACAAAGUCUUCUUUAGAC
rnacentral:rRNA from 1 species